UGCUGUCAAAACGAAGGCCCUGUAGGAAGUUAGCUCCCACCUCUCUCCUAGAACAAUGAAAUAUCCUGAGAAAUAUUAAAAAAGCAGAAUAUUUCCCCUAAAAAGAGUAAAGUAGAAACUCAGAGAAGCAGAAACUCACCCCCCUCCCUUUGC